GAUGAAGAACGUAGCAAAAUGCGAUAAGUAAUGUGAAUUGCAGAAUUCAGUGAAUCAUCGAAUCUUUGAACGCACAUUGCGCCCGCCAGUAUUCUGGCGGGCAUGCCUGUUCGAGCGUCAUUUCAACCCUCAAGCACAGCUUGGUGUUGGGACUCGCGUUAAUUCGCGUUCCCCAAAUUGAUUGGCGGUCACGUCGAGCUUCCAUAGCGUAGUAGUAAAACCCUCGUUACUGGUAAUCGUCGCGGCCACGCCGUUAAACCCCAACUUCUGAAUGUUGACCUCGGAUCAGGUAGGAAUACCCGCUGAACUUAAGCAUAUCAAUAAGCGGAGGA
rnacentral:misc_RNA from 1 species